CCCAGCUGUAGGCAAUGGCCUUGGUUGCAUUGUACCUAGACAAGUUUUACACUGCUGGGAGAAAAUCAGCUAAGAGCUGACAGGCAUUCUAGGCCUGGUUAAUGCCAAAUUU
ensembl:snoRNA SNORA74 Small nucleolar RNA SNORA74